GUCCUCUGGAUUUCUAUCACACAUUUAAAUCUUUUCUCUUUGCAUGUGUUAACUCUUUGGGAAAGCUUCAGCUCAUAGAUACCAUAGUGGCACCGUAGAAGCACUUGGUUUUCUCUGACCUACCUAAUCACAGAUAGCAUUCAUCUUGUGUAAUACUCUAAAACAUGGUAUAGAAAAUUCCUCAUGUUCAAUUUAUUUCACUUGAGGCUUUUUUUGUUUUUGUUUUUAAAAAUAGAUGUCUUGUUAUUGAUCUCUGACUUCUGUACAUUUAAGAUGUAUAACGAAUUACAACAGUCCUUCAGAGUUUUCAGUUUUAAUUCUUAGGAAGCAGUGACAACAACCUUCCCUUAUAAUUUUAGUAACACUUUAAAAACAUACAGAAAAUAAAAAAUUAUGUGCCAUAUCUCAGAGAAAGAAAUACAAAUAUACUUACCAACUUUUUUCCUCAUCAUGAACCAAUUUCAGCUUACAUCAGAAUUGUAAUUUCAAAGCCAGACAUGCUACUGGUUUUCAAAUGAAUGUUAUGUUUUUAAUGUUUCUUCUCUCCCCACAAAGCAGCGAUAGUAGUAGAUUUAACAAUACCGUAGACUCUCAUGACUAUGAAAUCGUGGCUAUUUGUGUUAACAUGUUGUUCCUGUUGUUGAUGUGAUACAAAGCUCCUGCAAAGCAGCUGGCACAGUCCAGUGCACUGGCCUCCCUCACCGGCCUCGGUAAGUGUCCUCGGGGAAAGGGAGGCUCGCUGGCUUGUCUUUCUACUUGUUCUGUGGGGAAAUGCACUGUUCCUGCGUAGUUCAUGAACCUUAGAAGUCAGCUUACUCAGUCUCUAAAAGCUUUAGCUAGUGUCUUUGAGUAAACAUUCACAGUAGAAUGACUAUAAGUGGGAUAGCUAAUGUAGUUCAUUUGGGUGAGUUGAAUUGAGGAGUUCCUCAUUUAUUGUUCCAGUGUGUAUAUAAUAUAUGAUGUAUAAUUAAUUGUAUGUUAUAUAUUAUAUACACAUAGUUUAUACUUAAUAGAUAAUGGUCUACCCCAGUUUAGGUAGUUUCUAAACUCGCUUUUAAGAUUAUGGCAUAUAUACAUAAGAAUUUACCUAGACAGUAAUGAAUUUGAUGAUUUACAUAAAUUGUGUUGGAGCAAAUCAAGUUUCAACUUAGAGGAAAUGGGUUUAUCUUACAACAGGAAUGUUGUGUUCAUAGUUUGCUAUUUGCAUGCUAUUAAGACUAAAGCUUGAGUUUGCCUUUUCCACAUCUUCAUGUUAAUUUGUGUGGAGCAAGAGAAACGGGUAGAAUAAAAUGCCCAUGUAAUUUUGGAAUUAUACUUUUGAGAUCACUUCUGGGUGGGGAGUAACUCGUACCAUUUUUAUACCAGUGAAUUAACUUGAGAAAUAUUUUCAGAAUCAUUCUCAAUUUAUUACGGUAGUUGAAUUGGCUUAACUGUAGUAAGACUUCAUUUUUGCCAUGUUAAAUGCUUUUGUUGGUUAGUAUGGACAAUAAAAGCCAUUGUUAUGAUUCCUUCGUUGUGAGAAAUAUGUAAAGUGGUCCAAGGAAUAAGAUUUUACUAUCACCGUUGUCUGAGGAUUCUGAAACCGUAAACUUUGAAGUUCUGUCCUCCCCACCCUGAAUGCGCAUAUUCUUCCGGGAAAAGGCAAUGAAAAAAUAAAGUUUCUCCUCUGAUCUUAAAGAGUUUUUAGUGGCUUGUGUGAUGUUCGCAUGUGACAUGUGAUGGAUUGAGUUUUACGCACACAGGCGGACUGGGUGGCUAUGGAUCAGGCGACAGUGAAGAUGAGAGGAGUGACAGAGGUUCUGAGUCAUCUGACACUGAUGAUGAAGAGUUACGGCACCGAAUCCGGCAAAAACAAGAAGCUUUUUGGAGAAAAGAGAAAGAACAGCAGCUGUUACAAGAUAAACAGAUAGAAGGUGAUCUGAGAUUUCUGUGGCAUUUCUCUAGUUUCAUAUGUGCUUUUGUGAGCGUGUAAUGUAUGUUUUUUACUUCAGGGCACUAGUAUGCGUGAGUGUAUAAAAGACCUUUCCCUUGGAGUCACUUAGCCAUGAGCAAGAGCAAAUUCACAUUUGAGUUCUCUACUUACUGUUCACUGUGUCCUCCGCCUCUGUACUGUGCCUAUCCUUCUGUACCUGUCUGACCCUAACAAAGGCUUUUGCUCUGUAUCUGUUGAACAGCAUAGAAAGUGUCCCAUGGGGGAAAGCAUGGAAAAGUGUACAGAAAUCUUUAUCAGUUUCACAAGGGAUUCAGUCACUGGCACUAACUGAUCUCAGCUGACCCAGAUAAACAACGUCAUUCUUUAUCAACCAGUGUUUAUAAAUUGUUGCUUCCAAACUUGAUAUUCAGUUUUAGGCAGUUGCUUUUAACUUCUGUAUUUGCUGCUUGUCACAAAUGAUGUACAGGCGUGUCCAAGUCAGGGGAGCAGAAGAGUAAUCAUUUAAGAUUGUAGCUUUGCAUUAGCUUAAAGUUGAUUCCAUGAGAAAUCCAAGGCAAGGAAAAGUGAUUGUUACAUUUUCCUUUUAAAAGCAGGGUAAUAAUCUGAGUGCACAGGAAGUGCAUAGUAAGGAGUCUAUGUCUUAAGUGACCUCAAGGUGUAACUAACUUUGGAUGUGAGGUCCAGCAAAAGUCUCAGUCUCUUAGUAAGAGGUUGUUCCAUAAUCCUGUAUCGCCACAGAUUUAGUUUGAAACUAAAGUAGAAAUAUUGUAGCAUAGAACUGGAGGCUUCAUUGUAAGGAUGCCUUAUAGCUGAGAUCACAUUCUAUUUUUCCUAUCUUUCUACUUUGUCAUAGGAGCCAGGUGUCUUCAUGAUCAUAAACCAGGGUCUUAGAUACAUUUAUUUCAUGUUCAAAUUAUUGCAGUGAAAAUAUACUUUUGAAAAAAAUAGACUUUUGUAAUGAUGGAGUAUAUUUAAAGUUACU
rnacentral:lncRNA from 1 species